rnacentral:lncRNA from 10 species
CGGCAGAAAAGGCCGGCGUGUGGGGCGGGCCUGGGGAAGGGACUCCCGCGGCCCUAAGGUGCUGGCGGGCGUUUGGCGUUGCAGCUGUGUGGGCGCUGGUGCGUGCGAGUAGCGCUCGAAGAAACCCAAAGGCGUCGUGGGGCUGCCGUGUGCCCCAGAGAGCACUGCAGGCCGGGUAGGGGCUAAGGCUCCCCGCAGUCUUCUGUGUGUCGUCCAGUACGCAGUUGAAAUCGUUCUCCAACCUGGCCAGUCCUCCGAGGCCCUUCUCAGGCGACCAGACUCUGUUAACAGAGUCCAUUGCUAAAACUCCUCGUUAGUAUUUACCACUCCUCCAGUCUGUGUUUUGAAGCAGUGGUUUUCAACCACUGCCCGUUUUCAGAAGAAAUCAUCUCAAGCGUCCGUGUGCUGCUAGAAGCCGGGCCGGGAGGUCUUGGUGCCGGACUCCACCCUGCAGCCCUUCCCUUUCGCCACCGCCCUGUGCUUAGAGAAACCUUAGAGUGGAGCAAUGAGUCGCCCUUGACUGAGUAACUCUUCGGGGUCAACUUCUCCUUCCACGCCAAGGAAAGGAUUCCAGGGCGAUGUUUCUGGAAAUAGAGAUCUGACCAAGCCACUGCUCUGGUGAAAAUUCAGUGGGUCCCUAGCACCUAGUGCAGCGGCUCCUAGCCUGAGUAUUGCCGUCUUUCGGUGGGGAGGGGUUGGGUUUUUUUGUAGCAUCUGUUGAUCUGAUCUCCAACAUCCUCCACGUCAAUUCCCACUCCACCCACAUCCCUUAUCCUAUACGUAAGCUUUCCAGCCACGGUGCUGGCUUGGGUGGGGGUGCGUGCGGUGCUGACACCAAAAUGGAGGUCCCGUGUUUCUGAGAGUCUCUUUCAGAGCAAUGCAAACCUGAAACUACUCCUGCCAAGAAACGAUUGCAGCUCUUCCCGGAAAAGUUAAAGCCUUUGAGAAACAAAGCUGAGGUUGAAAGUAUUAGUCCAUUUUAUAGAUGAAGAAAUGGAGGCCCAGAGAGAUCACGUGACUUAGCCAAGUCCACCAACAUGCUGGACCACAUCAAGUUCAGAAGCUUCUGAACAGCGAAGGAAACAAUCAAUGAAGAGACCCACAGAAUGAGAGAAAAUAUUUGCAAACCACUCAUCUGAAGCUCAGAUAACUCCAUAGGAAAAAAAUCGAAUAAUCCGAUUUAAAAAUGGGCAAAAUAUCUGAAUAGACAUUUCUCAAAAGAAGACACAUAUUCUACAUUGAAAAAAAAAAAUAAGGCCGGGCGCGGUGGCUCAUGCCUGUAAUCCCAGCACUUUGGGAGACUGAGGAGGGCAGAUCACCUGAGGUCGGGAGUUCGAGACCAGCCUGACCAACAUGGAGAAACCCCGUCUCUAUUAAAAAUACAAAAUUAGCUGGGUGUGGUGGCACAUGCCUGUAAUCCCAGCUACUAGGGAGGCCGAGGCAGGA